CUACCUCGGCUUCUGGGCAAGAUAUUCUUUAAUUUUAGUUGAUUAGCAACCACUAUUGUUCAGGAAUUUUGAGUGGCGCACAUCCUGGUCUGGCGAGCCGAUGACCGGACAUCAUUUGUUAAGGAAGCAAAAGGGACUACACUCACAAGGAACCAUGAAGCCAACGAUCCACGUCAACUAGAUGUUUUAGCUUUCAUUUUGUACAACUGAUGUCUCAUACUUGCAUCUUUUAGCUGUCCUUUUGUAAACCUGAUGUAUGGUUUCUCGGUAUGUUGAAGUGUAUGUGCCAAUUAGUUAAUGGAAUA